UGUUUGCCUCAGUGCAGGGGAGGUAUGUUGAACACGUGAUUCAACAAAGCCUGCCAAUUGAUGUACUUGAGAGAAACCUUCAAAGCUCUGUUAAGCUGGAAGAUGACCCAGAAGAGCAAUGGUGUAAGAGGGACACCUCUUCUGGCAGUUCAAAGCACAAGUCAAAAUAUUUCAAUCCUCCAAAAAACCUUCCAAACCCCAAGACCAAGACCAAAACCAAGAAGAUCAUAAAAGUGGAGCAGAAUCAACGGGUUGAAGAUGCACAAUUAAAAUUGCUGUGGAAAAAGAGGGGAACAGAGAUAAUUGUUGCAACCCUGCCAUCCCAAGUGAAGGGUCGGAGCCUCUUCAUCCACCACACUGAUCUACGGUGUCUACGACCCCACCUGUGGUUGACAGGAGAGAUAAUUCAGGGAUUGAUGCAUCUCAGUGCCUUCACGUACAACGUGGUGGAAACCAUUUACUUAAUGGAUUAUUACACCGCAGGUGUACUUUUAUUUGGUGACAG